UGCGUAGAUGGUAGAAUAAGUUAUUAGCCAAAGGCAAGCUCAACUUACUGGAAGUUAAUAAUACUGUUUUGCUAGAGAAUGGAAGGGGUUAAUGGAACUCUAUGUGUAGAGGUGAAAUUCGUUGAUCUAUAGAAGACCACCAAAAAAGCGAAGGCAAUUAACUAUUCCAUUUCUGACAUUGAGGCACGAAAGCGUGGGGAAGCAAAAC
rnacentral:rRNA from 1 species